rnacentral:rRNA from 1 species
AACGAACGCUGGCGGCAGGCCUAACACAUGCAAGUCGAGCGCCCUUUCGGGGGAGCGGCGGACGGGUGAGUAACGCGUGGGAAUAUGCCCUUCUCUACGGAAUAGCCUCGGGAAACUGAGAGUAAUACCGUAUACGCCCUGUGGGGGAAAGAUUUAUCGGGGAAGGAUUAGCCCGCGUUGGAUUAGGUAGUUGGUGGGGUAAUGGCCUACCAAGCCGACGAUCCAUAGCUGGUUUGAGAGGAUGAUCAGCCACACUGGGACUGAGACACGGCCCAGACUCCUACGGGAGGAAGCAGUGGGGAAUCUUAGACAAUGGGGGCAACCCUGAUCUAGCCAUGCCGCGUGAGUGAUGAAGGCCUUAGGGUUGUAAAGCUCUUUCAGCUGGGAAGAUAAUGACGGUACCAGCAGAAGAAGCCCCGGCUAACUCCGUG